rnacentral:rRNA from 1 species
UGGGGAAUUUUGGACAAUGGGCGAAAGCCUGAUCCAGCAAUGCCGCGUGUGUGAAGAAGGCCUUCGGGUUGUAAAGCACUUUUGUCCGGAAAGAAAUCCUUGGCUCUAAUACAGUCGGGGGAUGACGGUACCGGAAGAAUAAGCACCGGCUAACUACGUGCCAGCAGCCGCGGUAAUACGUAGGGUGCAAGCGUUAAUCGGAAUUACUGGGCGUAAAGCGUGCGCAGGCGGUUUGCUAAGACCGAUGUGAAAUCCCCGGGCUCAACCUGGGAACUGCAUUGGUGACUGGCAGGCUAGAGUAUGGCAGAGGGGGGUAGAAUUCCACGUGUAGCAGUGAAAUGCGUAGAGAUGUGGAGGAAUACCGAUGGCGAAGGCAGCCCCCUGGGCCAAAUACUGACGCUCAUGCACGAAAGCGUGGGGAGCAAACAGGAUUAGAUACCCUGGUAGUCCACGCCCUAAACGAUGUCAACUAGUUGUGGGGAUUCAUUUCCUUAGUAACGUAGCUAACGCGUGAAGUUGACCGCCUGGGGAGUACGGUCGCAAGAUUAAAACUCAAAUGAAUUGACGGGGUCAUAGCUGUUUCCU